rnacentral:sRNA from 2 species
GUUUGCACUUGUCGGGGAAGGGUGAGAACCUUCGAUUAAGGUUCGACUCGAGCGAAAGCGAGAGAACGUUGCCAACGGCAACGGCCCGUAGGGUGAGGAGCGAAGCGACGAAUAAUCCUUCCCCCACCACUA